GACGAACGCUGGCGGCGUGCUUAACACAUGCAAGUCGAACGGAAAGGCUCCAGCUUGCUGGCGUACUCGAGUGGCGAACGGGUGAGUAACACGUGGGUAAUCUGCCCUGCACUCUGGGAUAAGCCUGGGAAACUGGGUCUAAUACUGGAUAUGACCUUUCUCCUUAUGGGGUUUGGUGGAAAGUUUUUCGGUGUAGGAUGAGCCCGCGGCCUAUCAGCUUGUUGGUGGGGUGAUGGCCUACCAAGGCGACGACGGGUAGCCGGCCUGAGAGGGUGAUCGGCCACAUUGGGACUGAGAUACGGCCCAGACUCCUACGGGAGGCAGCAGUGGGGAAUAUUGCACAAUGGGCGGAAGCCUGAUGCAGCGACGCCGCGUGAGGGAUGACGGCCUUCGGGUUGUAAACCUCUUUCAGCAGGGACGAAGCGUAAGUGACGGUACCUGCAGAAGAAGCACCGGCUAACUAUGU
rnacentral:rRNA from 1 species